rnacentral:rRNA from 1 species
UCCCUACGGGGGGCAGCAGUGGGGAAUAUUGCACAAUGGGGGAAACCCUGAUGCAGCAACGCCGCGUGAGUGAGGAAGUAUUUCGGUAUGUAAAGCUCUAUCAGCAGGGAAUAGAAAAGAAGGUACCUGAAAAAGAAGCCCCGGCUAACUACGUGCCAGCAGCCGCGGUAAUACGUAGGGGGCGAGCGUUAUCCGGAUUCACUGGGCGUAAAGGGAGCGCAGGCGGCACGGCAAGUCCGGUGUGAAAGCCCGGGGCCCAACCCCGGGACUGCACUGGAAACUGCCGGGCUGGAG